GCACAACGCGAAGAACCUUACCUACCCUUGACAUGUCUGGAAUCCUGAAGAGAUUUAGGAGUGCUCGCAAGAGAACCGGAACACAGGUGCUGCAUGGCUGUCGUCAGCUCGUGUCGUGAGAUGUUGGGUUAAGUCCCGCAACGAGCGCAACCCUUGUCAUUAGUUGCUACGAAAGGGCACUCUAAUGAGACUGCCGGUGACAAACCGGAGGAAGGUGGGGAUGACGUCAAGUCCUCAUGGCCCUUAUGGGUAGGGCUUCACACGUCAUACAAUGGUCGGGACAGAGGGUCGCCAACCCGCGAGGGGGAGCCAAUCCCAGAAACCCGAUCGUAGUCCGGAUCGCAGUCUGCAACUCGACUGCGUGAAGUCGGAAUCGCUAGUAAUCGCGGAUCAGCAUGUCGCGGUGAAUACGUUCCCGGGUCUUGUACACACCG
rnacentral:rRNA from 1 species